GAUGAACGCUGGCGGCGUGCCUAAUACAUGCAAGUCGAGCGAACAGAUGAGGAGCUUGCUCCUCUGACGUUAGCGGCGGACGGGUGAGUAACACGUGGAUAACCUACCUAUAAGACUGGGAUAACUUCGGGAAACCGGAGCUAAUACCGGAUAAUAUAUUGAACCGCAUGGUUCAAUAGUGAAAGACGGUUUUGCUGUCACUUAUAGAUGGAUCCGCGCCGCAUUAGCUAGUUGGUAAGGUAACGGCUUACCAAGGCGACGAUGCGUAGCCGACCUGAGAGGGUGAUCGGCCACACUGGAACUGAGACACGGUCCAGACUCCUACGGGAGGCAGCAGUAGGGAAUCUUCCGCAAUGGGCGAAAGCCUGACGGAGCAACGCCGCGUGAGUGAUGAAGGUCUUCGGAUCGUAAAACUCUGUUAUUAGGGAAGAACAAAUGUGUAAGUAGCUAUGCACGUCUUGACGGUACCUAAUCAGAAAGCCACGGCUAACUACGUG
rnacentral:rRNA from 1 species